rnacentral:rRNA from 1 species
AACCGGGGGAACUGAAACAUCUAAGUACCCCGAGGAAAAGAAAUCAACCGAGAUUCCCCCAGUAGCGGCGAGCGAACGGGGAGGAGCCCAGAGCCUGAAUCAGUGUGUGUGUUAGUGGAAGCGUCUGGAAAGGCGCGCGAUACAGGGUGACAGCCCCGUACACAAAAAUGCACAUGCUGUGAGCUCGAUGAGUAGGGCGGGACACGUGGUAUCCUGUCUGAAUAUGGGGGGACCAUCCUCCAAGGCUAAAUACUCCUGACUGACCGAUAGUGAACCAGUACCGUGAGGGAAAGGCGAAAAGAACCCCGGCGAGGGGAGUGAAAAAGAACCUGAAACCGUGUACGUACAAGCAGUGGGAGCCUCUUAAUGGGGUGACUGCGUACCUUUUGUAUAAUGGGUCAGCGACUUAUAUUCUGUAGCAAGGUUAACCGAAUAGGGGAGCCGAAGGGAAACCGAGUCUUAACUGGGCGUUAAGUUGCAGGGUAUAGACCCGAAACCCGGUGAUCUAGCCAUGGGCAGGUUGAAGGUUGGGUAACACUAACUGGAGGACCGAACCGACUAAUGUUGAAAAAUUAGCGGAUGACUUGUGGCUGGGGGUGAAAGGCCAAUCAAACCGGGAGAUAGCUGGUUCUCCCCGAAAGCUAUUUAGGUAGCGCCUCGUGAAUUCAUCUCCGGGGGUAGAGCACUGUUUCGGCAAGGGGGUCAUCCCGACUUACCAACCCGAUGCAAACUGCGAAUACCGGAGAAUGUUAUCACGGGAGACACACGGCGGGUGCUAACGUCCGUCGUGAAGAGGGAAACAACCCAGACCGCCAGCUAAGGUCCCAAAGUCAUGGUUAAGUGGGAAACGAUGUGGGAAGGCCCAGACAGCCAGGAUGUUGGCUUAGAAGCAGCCAUCAUUUAAAGAAAGCGUAAUAGCUCACUGGUCGAGUCGGCCUGCGCGGAAGAUGUAACGGGGCUAAACCAUG